rnacentral:rRNA from 1 species
AGAGUUUGAUCCUGGCUCAGGAUGAACGCUAGCGGCAGGCUUAACACAUGCAAGUCGAGGGGCAUCGGGAGGAAAGCUUGCUUUCCUUGCCGGCGACCGGCGCACGGGUGAGUAACACGUAUGCAACCUGCCCUCUUCAGGGGGACAACCUUCCGAAAGGGAGGCUAAUCCCGCGUAUAUCGGUUUCGGGCAUCCGAGAUCGAGGAAAGAUUCAUCGGAAGGGGAUGGGCAUGCGGCGCAUUAGCUUGACGGCGGGGUAACGGCCCACCGUGGCGACGAUGCGUAGGGGUUCUGAGAGGAAGGUCCCCCACACUGGUACUGAGACACGGACCAGACUCCUACGGGAGGCAGCAGUGAGGAAUAUUGGUCAAUGGGAGAGAUCCUGAACCAGCCAAGCCGCGUGAGGGAAGACGGCCCUAUGGGUUGUAAACCUCUUUUGUCGGAGAACAAAACCCGGGACGUGUCCCGGACUGCGUGUAUCCGAAGAAAAAGCAUCGGCUAACUACGUG